rnacentral:rRNA from 1 species
AGCUCCAAUAGCGUAUAUUAAAGUUGUUGCGGUUAAAAAGCUCGUAGUUGGAUCUCGGCGGGUAGAAAGCGGUACACUGCUAAGUGUUACUGCCUUUUUUCCCGUCGUUUUUUCUCGAGGUUUUAGGGGGCUCUUAAUCUAGUGUCCUUGGAUGCUAGCAGGUUUACUUUGAAAAAAUUAGAGUGCUCAAAGCAGGCUACUACGCUUGAAUAUUCGUGCAUGGAAUAAUAGAAUAGGAAGUCGUUUCUAUUUUGUUGGUUUUCGGAAAUCGACUUAAUGAUUAAUAGGGACAGUCGGGGGCAUUUGUAUUCAAACGACAGAGGUGAAAUUCUUGGACCGUUUGAAGACAAACUACUGCGAAAGCAUUUGCCAAGAAUGGUGUCA